rnacentral:rRNA from 1 species
GAUGAACGCUGGCGGCGUGCCUAAUACAUGCAAGUCGAGCGAACAGACGAGGAGCUUGCUCCCCUGACGUUAGCGGCGGACGGGUGAGUAACACGUGGAUAACCUACCUAUAAGACUGGGAUAACUUCGGGAAACCGGAGCUACUACCGGAUAAUAUAUUGAACCGCAUGGUUCAAUAGUGAAAGACGGUUUUGCUGACACUUAUAGAUGGUUCCGCGUCGCAUUAGCUAGUUGGUAAGGUAACGGCUUACCAAGGCAACGAUGCGUAGCCGACCUGAGAGGGUGAUCAGCCACACUGGAACUGAGACACGGUCCAGACUCCUACGGGAGGCAGCAGUAGGGAAUCUUCCGCAAUGGGCGAAAGCUUGACGGAGCAACGCCGCGUGAGUGAUGAAGGUCUUCGGAUCGUAAAACUCUGUUAUUAGGGAAGAACAAAUGUGUAAGUAACUAUGCACGUCUUGACGGUACCUAAUCAGAAAGCCACGGCUAACUACGUG